UGAGGUGCCAGGUAAAAGGACCUCCCUGUAAACAGGGAUCAAGGUCCACCCCUUCCCAGCAAAAAGGCUUGAGGUGUCCGUUAGGUAGCUAAGGCUGAGGAACCCCCCUUUAAGAAGGGUAGCGGUCUCUCUGUGGCUUUCAGCUCUUUAGGAGCUAGGCUUUAAAAUGCCCCGUGCCAUUGACCUCUCCCUGUAAGAAGGGUUCAGGUCUCCCCUUUUUAGCUUCUCCUGGGCCGCUGGCACUUGCUGGGCAAAGAGACCGCCCUCUCCUGAGGGAAUGGAGGUCUCUCGUUUUCAGCGCUUUAGCCUCUGCUCCGUUGUAAUGCCCCUGGCUUGAGGACCACCCUGUAAGGAGGGUUUGGGCCUCCUUUGCCAUGCUGCUUUCGCUACAGGUCACUUGGACAUGCCAGGCAAAAUGACCGCCCUGUAAGCAGGGUGUAAGGUCUGCUCCCUCUCCCUCUUAAGCCAGUGGGGCCUUUCGGUGCCUGUGGCUGAGGGACCCCCCUUUAAGAAGGGUAGCGGUCUUUGUGUGGCAUUCAGCUCGUUAGCAGCUAGGCUUUAAAAUUCCCUGUGCCGUUGACCUCUCCCUGUCAGAAGGGUUCAGGUGUCCCCUUUUUAGCUUCUCUUGGGCCGCUGGCACUUGCAGGGCAAAGAGACCACCCUCUCCUGAGGGGAUGGAGGUCUCUCCCUUUCUGCACUUCAGGGUUUGGCCCAGGCUAAAGGACCAUCCUGUAAGGAGGGUUUGGGUCUCCUUUGCCAUGCUGCAUUCGCCACAGGUCACUUGGACAUGCCAGGCAAAAUGACCGCCCUAUAAGCAGGGUGUAAGGUCUUCUCUCUCUCCCUCUUAAGUCAGUGGGGCCUUUCCGUGCCUGUGGCUGAGGGAUCCCGCUUUAAGAAGGGUUGAGCGUCUCUUUUCUCUUUCUCCUCGUAAACUGCUCUAGAAAUCAUUUCGACUUGGCUUUUUUGACAUUUGCAGUCAAAUCGUAUUUGUGACCUCUUGAAUUCAAGCCGGGGUCCCAUGGAACAUGGUGUGGCGAAGGGGCGGCUGUAAGGGGAUGGUGGAGGCCGUGAGAAAUUGGACGCUUUUUUGAAAAAAGCCAAGAAACCCCCCAAAACAAUCCAAAUCUUUCCAGGUCUGGAAAUGAACUGGUGAGGUGGGGGGCUCCUUUCAGCUCCUCACUUCCAUGCAAUCCUUCCUCAUUUCCUCUUGCCCUGCCCAACUGCCGCUGCCCCCCAACCUCAGCUUGGACCCUUUCUUUUAUUCUGCGCAGGAAACAUACUGCUGGCUGUGGUAGUGUAAUUGUCUUGAUUGGGAAUGGUCCGUUCGUGGUGUCCCAAUUCCAGGCCUUUGCUCUCUUUGCUGGUAGACUGAGGCUAUAUUUUUGGACUGUCUUUGAAGGGAUUGAAAGAGCUGUGCUUCAUGACAGCUGUUGGUGAUCUGGUGGUAUAGCUACAGGUGUCGUGGUCUUGCAUCUUGCACGUGGGUGCUCCUAACCCUACUAACAGGACUGCGUAAGAAGUAAGGGAUGUCUGUUUUGGAAAAGGGUAGGGGGUUCACAGUUGUAAUGUUCUUGGUGGGGUAGACAGGUAAGUCGGGAAGGGUGUUGGUGAGGGAUGGAGGAUUCCUUGGUCAUGGGAGGCUCCCUUACCUGUUCAUUUCCAGACAUUGUCACCUUUGUGACUCCUUUCCCCUUGUUUCAAGGAAGUAGGAUUUUUGUGAAGGAAGGGUGACCGCCCUGUGAUCGGGGUUCGGGUCGCUUUCCUUUCCCCCUCUUUGCAUUGGCCCUCUUAAUGCCAAAGUCCAAAGUGAGCUCCCUGUAACUAGGGUGUGCGUCUUUCCCAAGCUUACUCGCCCAUUUGAAAGCUAGUUAUAGAAACCAGCCUCUUUGGAGAGUUAGGGGUUUGUCCUUCUAGCUGUCCUGUCGCCAUGCCCUACUCACACGCACAACCAAGUCCAAACCGAGCGAACUCUGCAUCCAGCUGGCCCCGACGACUUCUGCUGCUGCUGCUGCAAGGUUUCCUGCUGUAUGCCACAGCAACUCAAAAGAGAAAAUGGAGAAGAAGACAGAAGCCCCAAAGAACCGGCAGGAGAAGACAAUGGAAGCAGAAGCCACAGAAAAGAGACACACACCUUGCACGCGUGGGCCUCCCUGUAAUGAGGACACGGGGUUUCCACUUAAGCUUCAUUCCCCCUUGAGGUGCCAGGUAAAAGGACCUCCCUGUAAACAGGGAUCAAGGUCCACCCCUUCCCAGCAAAAAGGCUUGAGGUGUCCGUUAGGUAGCUAAGGCUGAGGAACCCCCCUUUAAGAAGGGUAGCGGUCUCUCUGUGGCUUUCAGCUCUUUAGGAGCUAGGCUUUAAAAUGCCCCGUGCCAUUGACCUCUCCCUGUAAGAAGGGUUCAGGUCUCCCCUUUUUAGCUUCUCCUGGGCCGCUGGCACUUGCUGGGCAAAGAGACGGCCCUCUCCUGAGGGAAUGGAGGUCUCUCGUUUUCAGCGCUUUAGCCUCUGCUCCGUUGUAAUGCCCCUGGCUUGAGGACCACCCUGUAAGGAGGGUUUGGGCCUCCUUUGCCAUGCUACUUUCGCCACAGGUCACUUGGACAUGCCAGGCAAAAUGACCGCCCUGUAAGCAGGGUGUAAGGUCUUCUCCCUCUCCCUCUUAAGCCAGUGGGCCCUUUCCGUACCUGUGGCUGAGGGACCCCCCUUUAAGAAGGGUAGCGGUCUCUCUGUGGCUUUCAGCUCUUUAGGAGCUAAGCUUUAAAAUGCCCCGUACCAUUGACCUCUCCCUGUCAGAAGGGUUCAGGUGUCCCCUUUUUAGCUUCUCCUGGGCCGCUGGCACUUGCUGGGCAAAGAGACCACCCUCUCCUGAGGGAAUGGAGGUCUCUCCCUUUCUGUACUUCGGGGUUUGGCCCAGGCCAAAGGACCACCCUGUAAGGAGGGUUUGGGUCUCCUUUGCCCUGCUGCUUUCGCUACAGGUCACUUGGACAUGCCAGGCAAAAUGACCGCCCUGUAAGCAGGGUGUAAGGUCUGCUCCCUCUCCCUCUUAAGCCAGUGGGGCCUUUCGGUGCCUGUGGCUGAGGGACCCCCCUUUAAGAAGGGUAGCGGUCUUUGUGUGGCAUUCAGCUCGUUAGCAGCUAGGCUUUAAAAUUCCCUGUGCCGUUGACCUCUCCCUGUCAGAAGGGUUCAGGUGUCCCCUUUUUAGCUUCUCUUGGGCCGCUGGCACUUGCUGGGCAAAGAGACCACCCUCUCCUGAGGGGAUGGAGGUCUCUCCCUUUCUGCACUUCAGGGUUUCGCCCAGGCUAAAGGACCAUCCUGUAAGGAGGGUUUGGGUCUCCUUUGCCAUGCUGCAUUCGCCACAGGUCACUUGGACAUGCCAGGCAAAAUGACCGCCCUAUAAGCAGGGUGUAAGGUCUUCUCUCUCUCCCUCUUAAGUCAGUGGGGCCUUUCCGUGCCUGUGGCUGAGGGAUCCCGCUUUAAGAAGGGUUGAGCGUCUCUUUUCUCUUUCUCCUCGUAAACUGCUCUAGAAAUCAUUUCGACUUGGCUUUUUUGACAUUUGCAGUCAAAUCGUAUUUGUGACCUCUUGAAUUCAAGCCGGGGUCCCAUGGAACAUGGUGUGGCGAAGGGGCGGCUGUAAGGGGAUGGUGGAGGCCGUGAGAAAUUGGACGCUUUUUUGAAAAAAGCCAAGAAACCCCCCAAAACAAUCCAAAUCUUUCCAGGUCUGGAAAUGAACUGGUGAGGUGGGGGGCUCCUUUCAGCUCCUCACUUCCAUGCAAUCCUUCCUCAUUUCCUCUUGCCCUGCCCAACUGCCGCUGCCCCCCAAGCUCAGCUUGGACCCUUUCUUUUAUUCUGCGCAGGAAACAUACUGCUGGCUGUGGUAGUGUAAUUGUCUUGAUUGGGAAUGGUCCGUUCGUGGUGUCCCAAUUCCAGGCCUUUGCUCUCUUUGCUGGUAGACUGAGGCUAUAUUUUUGGACUGUCUUUGAAGGGAUUGAAAGAGCUGUGCUUCAUGACAGCUGUUGGUGAUCUGGUGGUAUAGCUACAGGUGUCGUGGUCUUGCAUCUUGCACGUGGGUGCUCCUAACCCUACUAACAGGACUGCGUAAGAAGUAAGGGAUGUCUGUUUUGGAAAAGGGUAGGGGGUUCACAGUUGUAAUGUUCUUGGUGGGGUAGACAGGUAAGUCGGGAAGGGUGUUGGUGAGGGAUGGAGGAUUCCUUGGUCAUGGGAGGCUCCCUUACCUGUUCAUUUCCAGACAUUGUCACCUUUGUGACUCCUUUCCCCUUGUUUCAAGGAAGUAGGAUUUUUGUGAAGGAAGGGUGACCGCCCUGUGAUCGGGGUUCGGGUCGCUUUCCUUUCCCCCUCUUUGCAUUGGCCCUCUUAAUGCCAAAGUCCAAAGUGAGCUCCCUGUAACUAGGGUGUGCGUCUUUCCCAAGCUUACUCGCCCAUUUGAAAGCUAGUUAUAGAAACCAGCCUCUUUGGAGAGUUAGGGGUUUGUCCUUCUAGCUGUCCUGUCGCCAUGCCCUACUCACACGCACAACCAAGUCCAAACCGAGCGAACUCUGCAUCCAGCUGGCCCCGACGACUUCUGCUGCUGCUGCUGCAAGGUUUCCUGCUGUAUGCCACAGCAACUCAAAAGAGAAAAUGGAGAAGAAGACAGAAGCCCCAAAGAACCGGCAGGAGAAGACAAUGGAAGCAGAAGCCACAGAAAAGAGACACACACCUUGCACGCGUGGGCCUCCCUGUAAUGAGGACACGGGGUUUCCACUUAAGCUUCAUUCCCCCUUGAGGUGCCAGGUAAAAGGACCUCCCUGUAAACAGGGAUCAAGGUCCACCCCUUCCCAGCAAAAAGGCUUGAGGUGUCCGUUAGGUAGCUAAGGCUGAGGAACCCCCCUUUAAGAAGGGUAGCGGUCUCUCUGUGGCUUUCAGCUCUUUAGGAGCUAGGCUUUAAAAUGCCCCGUGCCAUUGACCUCUCCCUGUAAGAAGGGUUCAGGUCUCCCCUUUUUAGCUUCUCCUGGGCCGCUGGCACUUGCUGGGCAAAGAGACGGCCCUCUCCUGAGGGAAUGGAGGUCUCUCGUUUUCAGCGCUUUAGCCUCUGCUCCGUUGUAAUGCCCCUGGCUUGAGGACCACCCUGUAAGGAGGGUUUGGGCCUCCUUUGCCAUGCUACUUUCGCCACAGGUCACUUGGACAUGCCAGGCAAAAUGACCGCCCUGUAAGCAGGGUGUAAGGUCUUCUCCCUCUCCCUCUUAAGCCAGUGGGCCCUUUCCGUACCUGUGGCUGAGGGACCCCCCUUUAAGAAGGGUAGCGGUCUCUCUGUGGCUUUCAGCUCUUUAGGAGCUAAGCUUUAAAAUGCCCCGUACCAUUGACCUCUCCCUGUCAGAAGGGUUCAGGUGUCCCCUUUUUAGCUUCUCCUGGGCCGCUGGCACUUGCUGGGCAAAGAGACCACCCUCUCCUGAGGGAAUGGAGGUCUCUCCCUUUCUGUACUUCGGGGUUUGGCCCAGGCCAAAGGACCACCCUGUAAGGAGGGUUUGGGUCUCCUUUGCCCUGCUGCUUUCGCUACAGGUCACUUGGACAUGCCAGGCAAAAUGACCGCCCUGUAAGCAGGGUGUAAGGUCUGCUCCCUCUCCCUCUUAAGCCAGUGGGGCCUUUCGGUGCCUGUGGCUGAGGGACCCCCCUUUAAGAAGGGUAGCGGUCUUUGUGUGGCAUUCAGCUCGUUAGCAGCUAGGCUUUAAAAUUCCCUGUGCCGUUGACCUCUCCCUGUCAGAAGGGUUCAGGUGUCCCCUUUUGAGCUUCUCUUGGGCCGCUGGCACUUGCAGGGCAAAGAGACCACCCUCUCCUGAGGGGAUGGAGGUCUCUCCCUUUCUGCACUUCAGGGUUUCGCCCAGGCUAAAGGACCAUCCUGUAAGGAGGGUUUGGGUCUCCUUUGCCAUGCUGCAUUCGCCACAGGUCACUUGGACAUGCCAGGCAAAAUGACCGCCCUGUAAGCAGGGUGUAAGGUCUUCUCCCUCUCCCUCUUAAGCCAGUGGGCCCUUUCCGUACCUGUGGCUGAGGGACCCCCCUUUAAGAAGGGUAGCGGUCUCUCUGUGGCUUUCAGCUCUUUAGGAGCUAAGCUUUAAAAUGCCCCGUACCAUUGACCUCUCCCUGUCAGAAGGGUUCAGGUGUCCCCUUUUUAGCUUCUCCUGGGCCGCUGGCACUUGCUGGGCAAAGAGACCACCCUCUCCUGAGGGAAUGGAGGUCUCUCCCUUUCUGUACUUCGGGGUUUGGCCCAGGCCAAAGGACCACCCUGUAAGGAGGGUUUGGGCCUCCUUUGCCAUGCUGCUUUCGCUACAGGUCACUUGGACGUGCCAGGCAAAAUGACCGCCCUGUAAGCAGGGUGUAAGGUCUGCUCCCUCUCCCUCUUAAGCCAGUGGGCCCUUUCCGUACCUGUGGCUGAGGGACCCCCCUUUAAGAAGGGUAGCGGUCUCUCUGUGGCUUUCAGCUCUUUAGGAGCUAAGCUUUAAAAUGCCCCGUACCAUUGACCUCUCCCUGUCAGAAGGGUUCAGGUGUCCCCUUUUUAGCUUCUCCUGGGCCGCUGGCACUUGCUGGGCAAAGAGACCACCCUCUCCUGAGGGAAUGGAGGUCUCUCCCUUUCUGUACUUCGGGGUUUGGCCCAGGCCAAAGGACCACCCUGUAAGGAGGGUUUGGGUCUCCUUUGCCCUGCUGCUUUCGCUACAGGUCACUUGGACAUGCCAGGCAAAAUGACCGCCCUGUAAGCAGGGUGUAAGGUCUGCUCCCUCUCCCUCUUAAGCCAGUGGGGCCUUUCGGUGCCUGUGGCUGAGGGACCCCCCCUUUAAGAAGGGUAGCGGUCUUUGUGUGGCAUUCAGCUCGUUAGCAGCUAGGCUUUAAAAUUCCCUGUGCCGUUGACCUCUCCCUGUCAGAAGGGUUCAGGUGUCCCCUUUUUAGCUUCUCUUGGGCCGCUGGCACUUGCUGGGCAAAGAGACCACCCUCUCCUGAGGGGAUGGAGGUCUCUCCCUUUCUGCACUUCAGGGUUUGGCCCAGGCUAAAGGACCAUCCUGUAAGGAGGGUUUGGGUCUCCUUUGCCAUGCUGCAUUCGCCACAGGUCACUUGGACAUGCCAGGCAAAAUGACCGCCCUGUAAGCAGGGUGUAAGGUCUUCUCCCUCUCCCUCUUAAGCCAGUGGGCCCUUUCCGUACCUGUGGCUGAGGGACCCCCCUUUAAGAAGGGUAGCGGUCUCUCUGUGGCUUUCAGCUCUUUAGGAGCUAAGCUUUAAAAUGCCCCGUACCAUUGACCUCUCCCUGUCAGAAGGGUUCAGGUGUCCCCUUUUUAGCUUCUCCUGGGCCGCUGGCACUUGCUGGGCAAAGAGACCACCCUCUCCUGAGGGAUUGGAGGUCUCUCCCUUUCUGUACUUCGGGGUUUGGCCCAGGCCAAAGGACCACCCUGUAAGGAGGGUUUGGCUCUCCUUUGCCCUGCUGCUUUCGCUACAGGUCACUUGGACAUGCCAGGCAAAAUGACCGCCCUGUAAGCAGGGUGUAAGGUCUGCUCCCUCUCCCUCUUAAGCCAGUGGGGCCUUUCGGUGCCUGUGGCUGAGGGACCCCCCUUUAAGAAGGGUAGCGGUCUUUGUGUGGCAUUCAGCUCGUUAGCAGCUAGGCUUUAAAAUUCCCUGUGCCGUUGACCUCUCCCUGUCAGAAGGGUUCAGGUGUCCCCUUUUUAGCUUCUCUUGGGCCGCUGGCACUUGCUGGGCAAAGAGACCACCCUCUCCUGAGGGGAUGGAGGUCUCUCCCUUUCUGCACUUCAGGGUUUGGCCCAGGCUAAAGGACCAUCCUGUAAGGAGGGUUUGGGUCUCCUUUGCCAUGCUGCAUUCGCCACAGGUCACUUGGACAUGCCAGGCAAAAUGACCGCCCUGUAAGCAGGGUGUAAGGUCUUCUCCCUCUCCCUCUUAAGCCAGUGGGCCCUUUCCGUACCUGUGGCUGAGGGACCCCCCUUUAAGAAGGGUAGCGGUCUCUCUGUGGCUUUCAGCUCUUUAGGAGCUAAGCUUUAAAAUGCCCCGUACCAUUGACCUCUCCCUGUCAGAAGGGUUCAGGUGUCCCCUUUUUAGCUUCUCCUGGGCCGCUGGCACUUGCUGGGCAAAGAGACCACCCUCUCCUGAGGGAAUGGAGGUCUCUCCCUUUCUGUACUUCGGGGUUUGGCCCAGGCCAAAGGACCACCCUGUAAGGAGGGUUUGGGUCUCCUUUGCCCUGCUGCUUUCGCUACAGGUCACUUGGACAUGCCAGGCAAAAUGACCGCCCUGUAAGCAGGGUGUAAGGUCUGCUCCCUCUCCCUCUUAAGCCAGUGGGGCCUUUCGGUGCCUGUGGCUGAGGGACCCCCCUUUAAGAAGGGUAGCGGUCUUUGUGUGGCAUUCAGCUCGUUAGCAGCUAGGCUUUAAAAUUCCCUGUGCCGUUGACCUCUCCCUGUCAGAAGGGUUCAGGUGUCCCCUUUUUAGCUUCUCUUGGGCCGCUGGCACUUGCAGGGCAAAGAGACCACCCUCUCCUGAGGGGAUGGAGGUCUCUCCCUUUCUGCACUUCAGGGUUUCGCCCAGGCUAAAGGACCAUCCUGUAAGGAGGGUUUGGGUCUCCUUUGCCAUGCUGCAUUCGCCACAGGUCACUUGGACAUGCCAGGCAAAAUGACCGCCCUAUAAGCAGGGUGUAAGGUCUUCUCUCUCUCCCUCUUAAGUCAGUGGGGCCUUUCCGUGCCUGUGGCUGAGGGAUCCCGCUUUAAGAAGGGUUGAGCGUCUCUUUUCUCUUUCUCCUCGUAAACUGCUCUAGAAAUCAUUUCGACUUGGCUUUUUUGACAUUUGCAGUCAAAUCGUAUUUGUGACCUCUUGAAUUCAAGCCGGGGUCCCAUGGAACAUGGUGUGGCGAAGGGGCGGCUGUAAGGGGAUGGUGGAGGCCGUGAGAAAUUGGACGCUUUUUUGAAAAAAGCCAAGAAACCCCCCAAAACAAUCCAAAUCUUUCCAGGUCUGGAAAUGAACUGGUGAGGUGGGGGGCUCCUUUCAGCUCCUCACUUCCAUGCAAUCCUUCCUCAUUUCCUCUUGCCCUGCCCAACUGCCGCUGCCCCCCAACCUCAGCUUGGACCCUUUCUUUUAUUCUGCGCAGGAAACAUACUGCUGGCUGUGGUAGUGUAAUUGUCUUGAUUGGGAAUGGUCCGUUCGUGGUGUCCCAAUUCCAGGCCUUUGCUCUCUUUGCUGGUAGACUGAGGCUAUAUUUUUGGACUGUCUUUGAAGGGAUUGAAAGAGCUGUGCUUCAUGACAGCUGUUGGUGAUCUGGUGGUAUAGCUACAGGUGUCGUGGUCUUGCAUCUUGCACGUGGGUGCUCCUAACCCUACUAACAGGACUGCGUAAGAAGUAAGGGAUGUCUGUUUUGGAAAAGGGUAGGGGGUUCACAGUUGUAAUGUUCUUGGUGGGGUAGACAGGUAAGUCGGGAAGGGUGUUGGUGAGGGAUGGAGGAUUCCUUGGUCAUGGGAGGCUCCCUUACCUGUUCAUUUCCAGACAUUGUCACCUUUGUGACUCCUUUCCCCUUGUUUCAAGGAAGUAGGAUUUUUGUGAAGGAAGGGUGACCGCCCUGUGAUCGGGGUUCGGGUCGCUUU